AACACAUGCAAGUCGAGGGGCAGCAUGGUCUUUGCUUGCUAAGGCCGAUGGCGACCGGCGCACGGGUGAGUAACACGUAUCCAACCUGCCGUCUACUCUUGGACAGCCUUCUGAAAGGAAGAUUAAUACAAGAUGGCAUCAUGAGUCCGCAUGUUCACAUGAUUAAAGGUAUUCCGGUAGACGAUGGGGAUGCGUUCCAUUAGAUAGUAGGCGGGGUAACGGCCCACCUAGUCUUCGAUGGAUAGGGGUUCUGAGAGGAAGGUCCCCCACAUUGGAACUGAGACACGGUCCAAACUCCUACGGGAGGCAGCAGUGAGGAAUAUUGGUCAAUGGGCGAGAGCCUGAACCAGCCAAGUAGCGUGAAGGAUGACUGCCCUAUGGGUUGUAAACUUCUUUUAUAAAGGAAUAAAGUCGGGUAUGGAUACCCGUUUGCAUGUACUUUAUGAAUAAGGAUCGGCUAACUCCGUGCCAGCAGCCGCGGUAAUACGGAGGAUCCGAGCGUUAUCCGGAUUUAUUGGGUUUAAAGGGAGCGUAGAUGGAUGUUUAAGUCAGUUGUGAAAGUUUGCGGCUCAACCGUAAAAUUGCAGUUGAUACUGGAUAUCUUGAGUGCAGUUGAGGCAGGCGGAAUUCGUGGUGUAGCGGUGAAAUGCUUAGAUAUCACGAAGAACUCCGAUUGCGAAGGCAGCCUGCUAAGCUGCAACUGACAUUGAGGCUCGAAAGUGUGGGUAUCAAACAGGAUUAGAUACCCUGGUAGUCCACACGGUAAACGAUGAAUACUCGCUGUUUGCGAUAUACUGCAAGCGGCCAAGCGAAAGCGUUAAGUAUUCCACCUGGGGAGUACGCCGGCAACGGUGAAACUCAAAGGAAUUGACGGGGGCCCGCACAAGCGGAGGAACAUGUGGUUUAAUUCGAUGAUACGCGAGGAACCUUACCCGGGCUUAAAUUGCAGAUGAAUUACGGUGAAAGCCGUAAGCCGCAAGGCAUCUGUGAAGGUGCUGCAUGGUUGUCGUCAGCUCGUGCCGUGAGGUGUCGGCUUAAGUGCCAUAACGAGCGCAACCCUUGUUGUCAGUUACUAACAGGUUCCGCUGAGGACUCUGACAAGACUGCCAUCGUAAGAUGUGAGGAAGGUGGGGAUGACGUCAAAUCAGCACGGCCCUUACGUCCGGGGCUACACACGUGUUACAAUGGGGGGUACAGAGGGCCGCUACCACGCGAGUGGAUGCCAAUCCCCAAAACCUCUCUCAGUUCGGACUGGAGUCUGCAACCCGACUCCACGAAGCUGGAUUCGCUAGUAAUCGCGCAUCAGCCACGGCGCGGUGAAUACGUUCCCGGGCCUUGUACACACCGCCCGUCAAGCCAUGGGAGCCGGGGGUACCUGAAGUGCGUAACCGCAAGGAGCGCCCUAGGGUAAAACUGGUGACUGGGGCUA
rnacentral:rRNA from 1 species